AUUGAACGCUGGCGGCAUGCCUUACACAUGCAAGUCGAACGGCAGCACGGGAGCAAUCCUGGUGGCGAGUGGCGAACGGGUGAGUAAUAUAUCGGAACGUGCCCAGUCGUGGGGAUAACGUAGCGAAAGCUACGCUAAUACCGCAUACGAUCUAUGGAUGAAAGCGGGGGAUCGCAAGACCUCGCGCGAUUGGAGCGGCCGAUAUCAGAUUAGGUAGUUGGUGAGGUAAAGGCUCACCAAGCCGACGAUCUGUAGCUGGUCUGAGAGGACGACCAGCCACACUGGAACUGAGACACGGUCCAGACUCCUACGGGAGGCAGCAGUGGGGAAUUUUUGGACAAUGGACGCAAGUCUGAUCCAGCCAUUCCGCGUGCAGGAUGAAGGCCCUCGGGUUGUAAACUGCUUUUGUACGGAACGAAAGGUUUCUCUUAAUACGAGGAGCUCAUGACGGUACCGUAAGAAUAAGCACCGGCUAACUAC
rnacentral:rRNA from 1 species